UGGGGAAUUUUGGACAAUGGGCGAAAGCCUGAUCCAGCAAUGCCGCGUGUGUGAAGAAGGCCUUCGGGUUGUAAAGCACUUUUGUCCGGAAAGAAAACGCCGUGGUUAAUACCCGUGGCGGAUGACGGUACCGGAAGAAUAAGCACCGGCUAACUACGUGCCAGCAGCCGCGGUAAUACGUAGGGUGCAAGCGUUAAUCGGAAUUACUGGGCGUAAAGCGUGCGCAGGCGGUCCGCUAAGGCAGAUGUGAAAUCCCCGGGCUUAACCUGGGAACUGCAUUUGUGACUGGCGGGCUAGAGUAUGGCAGAGGGGGGUAGAAUUCCACGUGUAGCAGUGAAAUGCGUAGAGAUGUGGAGGAAUACCGAUGGCGAAGGCAGCCCCCUGGGCCAAUACUGACGCUCAGUGCACCGAAAGCGUGGGGAGCAAACAGGAUUAGAUACCCUGGUAGUCCACGCCCUGAAACGAUGUCAACUAGUUGUCCGGGUCUUCAUCGACUUGGUAACGUAGCUAACGCGUGAAGUUGACCGCCUUGGGGGAGUACGGUCGCAAGAUU
rnacentral:rRNA from 1 species